rnacentral:lncRNA from 1 species
UGGCUUUAAAUUUUCUACAAGUUAACGAAAUUUUUCCCUGCAUAAAUCAAAUAGUUUUUUGUUAAUUUGUGCAUAGUUUGAGACAAUCUAAGUUGAAUUCCACACAUACAUCAGGCAAGCAACAACUUUAUCGAGAAACUAUUUUAGUUGGAUUGAUUAUAACCCAGUUUCUGCUUUUCUAAUAGCAAUCUUCAUCUUCAACUGAUGUUCUGGUAGCUUAUGUAUGCACUGC